rnacentral:rRNA from 1 species
AUUCCCGUAGUAAUGGCGAAUGAACUGGGAAAGGCUCAAAUUUAAAAUCACUUUUGUGAAUUGUAGUUUAAAGGAAAUUAGUCUCACAGCAAUCGCUAGUUAAGUAUUCUGGAAUGGAUCGUCAAGGAGGGUGAAAUUCCCGUAUACACUAGAUAGAAAGCUGCAAAGAACUUUUAUCCUACGAGUCGUGUUGCUUGUUAAUGCAGCAUUAAUUGGGAGGUAAAUUCCUUCUAAAGCUAAAUAUAAGAGAGAGACCGAUAGCAAACAAGUACCGUGAGGGAAAGAUGAAAGAGAACCCUGAAAAGGGGACUCAAAAGAAUGUGAAAUUGUCAAAAGGUAAGCGCUAAGAAUUGUUCGGAAUCUGAAUUUCAACUUUGAUCAGAGGAAACUCUGUAGUUAAAAUUUGGGUGGCUAUAGCUUUUGUUUUGACUAUCAAGAAUUUUGGGAUAGAGAUUGUAGGCCUCGGCUUACCUUUUCUUGAACUUGACAAUUGACUGUUGAAGCAGGAGUAAAAGUCUCACAAAGGUGUUGAUGAGGGGCACUUUCUCUUAUAGGCUUGCCUAGAGGAGUCAGGAACUUUAUCUUCUUUUUUAUGAGUUCUUAUAGUUAGAAGGUUCUAAGCGUCCCGUCUUGAAACACGGACCAAGGAGUCUAACAAAUAUGCAAGUAUAUGGGCGUCAAACCUCAGAUGCGUAAUGAAAGUAAUUUCAGGUAGGAUCUCGCAAGAGUGCACUAUCAACCGAACCUUAUGGACUUGUUCAUAGGAUUUGAGUGAGAGCAUAUUUGUUGGUACCCGAAAGAUGGUGAACUAUGCCUGAAUAGGGUGAAGCCAGAGGAAACUCUGGUGGAGGCUCGUAGCGAUUCUGACGUGCAAAUCGAUCGUCGAAUUUGGGUAUA